CCUACGGGUGGCUGCAGUGGGGAAUAUUGGGCAAUGGGCGAAAGCCUGACCCAGCAACGCCGCGUGAAGGAAGAAGGCUUUCGGGUUGUAAACUUCUUUUGACAGGGAAGAGCAGAAGACGGUACCUGUCGAAUAAGCCACGGCUAACUACGUGCCAGCAGCCGCGGUAAUACGUAGGUGGCAAGCGUUGUACGGAUUUACUGGGUGGAAAGGGUGUGUAGCCGGGCUGACAAGUCAGAAGUGAAACCCGGGGGCUCAACUGCCGAACUGCAUUUGAAACUGUUGGACUUGAGUGUCGGAGAGGCAGGCGGAAUUCCUAGUGUAGCGGUGAAAUGCGUAGAUAUUAGGAGGAACACCGGUGGCGAAGGCGGCCUACUGGACGGCAACUGACGGUGAGGCGCGAAAGCGUGGGGAGCAAACAGGAUUAGAUACCCCUGUAGUC
rnacentral:rRNA from 1 species